rnacentral:rRNA from 1 species
GCUUGUCUCAAAGAUUAAGCCAUGCAUGUCUAAGUAUAAACAACUUUAUACUGUGAAACUGCGUACAGCUCAUUAUAUCAGUUAUAAUUUAUUUGAUGGUGAUUUACUACAUGGAUAACCGUGGUAAUUCUAGAGCUAAUACAUGCUGUAAAGCCCGACUCUUCGGAAGGGCCGUAUUUAUUAGAUAACAGACCAAUAUUCCUCGUGUCUAUUGUGGUGAAUCAUAGUAACUAAUCGGAUCGCAUGGGCUAGUCCCGCGACAAACCAUUCAAGUUUCUGCCCCAUCAGCUUUCGAUGGUAGUGUAUUGGACUACCAUGGCUUUUACGGGUAACGGAGGAUUAGGGUUCGAUUCCGGAGAGGGAGCCUGAGAAACGGCUACCACAUCUAAGGAAGGCAGCAGG